rnacentral:rRNA from 1 species
UACGUAGGUGGCAAGCGUUGUCCGGAUUUACUGGGCGUAAAGCGCGCGCAGGCGGCUUACUAAGUCUGGUGUGAAAGCCCACGGCUCAACCGUGGAGGGCCAUUGGAAACUGGUAAGCUUGAGUGCAGGAGAGGAGAGCGGAAUUCCUGGUGUAGCGGUGAAAUGCGUAGAUAUCAGGAGGAACACCCGUGGCGAAGGCGGCUCUCUGGCCUGUAACUGACGCUGAGGCGCGAAAGCGUGGGGAGCAAAC